rnacentral:rRNA from 1 species
UACGGGGGGGCAAGCGUUGUUCGGAAUUACUGGGCGUAAAGGGCUCGUAGGUGGCCAACUAAGUCAGACGUGAAAUCCCUCGGCUUAACCGGGGAACUGCGUCUGAUACUGGAUGGCUUGAGUUUGGGAGAGGGACGCGGAAUCCAGGUGUAGCGGUGAAAUGCGUAGAUAUCUGGAGGAACACCGGUGGCGAAGGCGGCGUCCUGGACCAACACUGACACUGAUGAGCGAAAGCGUGGGGAGCGAACAGG